rnacentral:lncRNA from 1 species
GCCGCCCCGUCCGGGAGGGGGGAGGGGGGGUCAGCCCCCUGCCCGGCCAGCCGCCCCGUCCGGGAGGGAGGUGGUGGGGGCCAGCCCCCCGCCCGGCCAGCCGCCCCGUCCGGGAGGCCUCCAUGAUGUAAUACUCGAAGGAAGCUCUUGGAACAAAAGAAGGGAACUUCUGAUAUGCAAGAAAGAAUGAAGAGCUCAGGAAUAGACUACAUCACAAGAAGGUCAGGGUGCUUUCUGCUGAGUAUCGAUGAAAGCGGACAAGAAUAUAUACAGCAGAGCUCUUUUCGCUCUGUCUUCUUCAGUAAGCAAUGCUGGUGGAUUCUUCUGCAUCAACUUGGUUAAACUGAAACAACUUAUCCCAGAAUUUCUUCUGUAUAUAUUUCCAAGUUAGAGUCGGCCAAAAGAAAAAUUUGCACAAGAUCUGGAAGUGUCCAGUUGGUCUCCUUGAGGUAUCAUGCCAUUUUGGAGUCUCCGCAUUAGUCUCUGUUGCUGGCAGGUUGAACAUAGCAGUAGCAGAAGUCGGUCCCGGUGAGUGAGAGCCCAUGUUGUUGGACCCAGGCAGGACCUCCACCUCUGCCACCAUGGCCAUGUCAUUCAGACACUAAUGGCUAAUGUCAACUCCCUGGCUUCUUUUGUUUUGACGGUUUUUGAGUGUCCUUUCCCUGGAGGAUGAUAUCUGGUGGUCAUUAAGGAAUGACAUGAAGAUCUUCAACAUGGCGCCUUGAACAUGCCCAUCCACAUGCCGCUACCUUAGACCUCCUAGUCCCCAGUCUUUCAAUCUCUGUCACUUCAGGCCCCUGACCAGUCAGCCUGGAUCCCAAGUGUUACUAUCAAGACCUUGUCUAUUGCAU